GACGAACGCUGGCGGCGCGCUUAACACAUGCAAGUCGAGCGGUAAGGCCCUUUCGGGGGUACACGAGCGGCGAACGGGUGAGUAACACGUGGGUGACCUGCCCUCAGCUCUGGGAUAAGCCUGGGAAACCGGGUCUAAUACUGGAUAUGACUCCAUGACGCAUGUUGUGGGGUGGAAAGCCUUGUGCGGCUGAGGAUGGGCCCGCGGCCUAUCAGCUUGGUUGGUGGGGUGAUGGCCUACCAAGGCGACGACGGGUAGCCGGCCUGAGAGGGCGACCGGCCACACUGGGACUGAGACACGGCCCAGACUCCUACGGGAGGCAGCAGUGGGGAAUCUUGCGCAAUGGGCGAAAGCCUGACGCAGCGACGCCGCGUGAGGGAUGACGGCCUCGGU
rnacentral:rRNA from 1 species